AAAUCCGGUUGAUCCUGCCGGAGGCUACCGCUAUUGGAGUUCGAUUAAGCCAUGCGAGUCGCGAGUCUUAGGG
rnacentral:rRNA from 1 species